rnacentral:rRNA from 1 species
UACGAAGGGGGCUAGCGUUGCUCGGAAUCACUGGGCGUAAAGCGCACGUAGGCGGAUCUUUAAGUCGGGGGUGAAAUCCUGGAGCUCAACUCCAGAACUGCCUUUGAUACUGGGGAUCUCGAGUCCGGAAGAGGUGAGUGGAACUCCGAGUGUAGAGGUGAAAUUCGUAGAUAUUAGGAAGAACACCAGUGGCGAAGGCGGCUCACUGGCCCGGUACUGACGCUGAGGCGCGAAAGCGUGGGGAGCAAACAGG